CUUUUAUACCAGUACUGGACUUUGAGAGGCGGUCAUUUAACCACUCUUCACAGGUAAACAAUCUCUUUAAUGCACCUUCAGAUUCUCAAAUGGAGUCCACAGCUAAGUAAUCGGUCGCAAAGCGGGUUAUGGCAGGCCUGAUUAUCUCUUUUUUCUUAGAGUGUUCUCUAAACAGAAAUAAAAUUUUAGAGUGGUUGUAUAUAAAUCUCGAC
rnacentral:lncRNA from 1 species